rnacentral:siRNA from 1 species
UUGGAAGCAGCAUCUUCUAGGUUC